GUGGGGUAAUUUUCCGCAAUGGGCGAAAGCCUGACGGAGCAAUGCCGCGUGGAGGUGGAAGGCCUACGGGUCGUCAACUUCUUUUCUCGGAGAAGAAACAAUGACGGUAUCUGAGGAAUAAGCAUCGGCUAACUCUGUGACAG
rnacentral:rRNA from 1 species